rnacentral:rRNA from 1 species
GAAUUCAUCUCCGGGGGUAGAGCACUGUUUCGGCAAGGGGGUCAUCCCGACUUACCAACCCGAUGCAAACUGCGAAUACCGGAGAAUGUUAUCACGGGAGACACACGGCGGGUGCUAACGUCCGUCGUGAAGAGGGAAACAACCCAGACCGCCAGCUAAGGUCCCAAAGUCAUGGUUAAGUGGGAAACGAUGUGGGAAGGCCCAGACAGCCAGGAUGUUGGCUUAGAAGCAGCCAUCAUUUAAAGAAAGCGUAAUAGCUCACUGGUCGAGUCGGCCUGCGCGGAAGAUGUAACGGGGCUAAACCAUGCACCGAAGCUGCGGCAGCGACACUAUGUGUUGUUGGGUAGGGGAGCGUUCUGUAAGCCUGUGAAGGUGUACUGUGAGGUAUGCUGGAGGUAUCAGAAGUGCGAAUGCUGACAUAAGUAACGAUAAAGCGGGUGAAAAGCCCGCUCGCCGGAAGACCAAGGGUUCCUGUCCAACGUUAAUCGGGGCAGGGUGAGUCGACCCCUAAGGCGAGGCCGAAAGGCGUAGUCGAUGGGAAACAGGUUAAUAUUCCUGUACUUGGUGUUACUGCGAAGGGGGGACGGAGAAGGCUAUGUUGGCCGGGCGACGGUUGUCCCGGUUUAAGCGUGUAGGCUGGUUUUCCAGGCAAAUCCGGAAAAUCAAGGCUGAGGCGUGAUGACGAGGCACUACGGUGCUGAAGCGACAAAUGCCCUGCUUCCAGGAAAAGCCUCUAAGCAUCAGGUAACAUCAAAUCGUACCCCAAACCGACACAGGUGGUCAGGUAGAGAAUACCAAGGCGCUUGAGAGAACUCGGGUGAAGGAACUAGGCAAAAUGGUGCCGUAACUUCGGGAGAAGGCACGCUGAUAUGUAGGUGAAGCGACUUGCUCGUGGAGCUGAAAUCAGUCGAAGAUACCAGCUGGCUGCAACUGUUUAUUAAAAACACAGCACUGUGCAAACACGAAAGUGGACGUAUACGGUGUGACGCCUGCCCGGUGCCGGAAGGUUAAUUGAUGGGGUUAGCGGUAACGCGAAGCUCUUGAUCGAAGCCCCGGUAAACGGCGGCCGUAACUAUAACGGUCCUAAGGUAGCGAAAUUCCUUGUCGGGUAAGUUCCGACCUGCACGAAUGGCGUAAUGAUGGCCAGGCUGUCUCCACCCGAGACUCAGUGAAAUUGAACUCGCUGUGAAGAUGCAGUGUACCCGCGGCAAGACGGAAAGACCCCGUGAACCUUUACUAUAGCUUGACACUGAACAUUGAGCCUUGAUGUGUAGGAUAGGUGGGAGGCUUUGAAGUGUGGACGCCAGUCUGCAUGGAGCCGACCUUGAAAUACCACCCUUUAAUGUUUGAUGUUCUAACGUGGGCCCCUUACCGGGGUUGCGGACAGUGUCUGGUGGGUAGUUUGACUGGGGCGGUCUCCUCCUAAAGAGUAACGGAGGAGCACGAAGGUUGGCUAAUCCUGGUCGGACAUCAGGAGGUUAGUGCAAUGGCAUAAGCCAGCUUGACUGCGAGCGUGACGGCGCGAGCAGGUGCGAAAGCAGGUCAUAGUGAUCCGGUGGUUCUGAAUGGAAGGGCCAUCGCUCAACGGAUAAAAGGUACUCCGGGGAUAACAGGCUGAUACCGCCCAAGAGUUCAUAUCGACGGCGGUGUUUGGCACCUCGAUGUCGGCUCAUCACAUCCUGGGGCUGAAGUAGGUCCCAAGGGUAUGGCUGUUCGCCAUUUAAAGUGGUACGCGAGCUGGGUUUAGAACGUCGUGAGACAGUUCGGUCCCUAUCUGCCGUGGGCGCUGGAGAACUGAGGGGGGCUGCUCCUAGUACGAGAGGACCGGAGUGGACGCAUCACUGGUGUUCGGGUUGUCAUGCCAAUGGCACUGCCCGGUAGCUAAAUGCGGAAGAGAUAAGUGCUGAAAGCAUCUAAGCACGAAACUUGCCCCGAGAUGAGUUCUCCCUGACUCCUUGAGAGUCCUGAAGGAACGUUGAAGACGACGACGUUGAUAGGCCGGGUGUGUAAGCGCAGCGAUGCGUUGAGCUAACCGGUACUAAUGAACCGUGAGGCUUAACCUUACAACGCCGAAG